AGCAGCCGCGGUAAUUCCAGCUCCAAUAGCGUAUAUCAAAGUUGUUGCAGUUAAAAAGCUCGUAGUUGAAUUUCGGGAUUAGUACGCUGGUCAUGCCUUUGGUAUGUACUGGUGUUACUGGUUCCUACCUUCUGAAGAACCGUCAUGUCAUUAAUUUGGUGUGGCGGGGAAUCAGGACUGUUACUUUGAAAAAUUGAGUGUUUAAAGCAGGCUCGCGCUUGAAUACAUUAGCAUGGAAUAAUGAAAUAGGACGUUUGACCCUAUUUUGUUGGUUUCUAGGAUCGACGUAAUGAUUAAUAGGGAUAGUUGGGGGCAUUAGUAUUCAAUUGUCAGAGGUGAAAUUCUUGGAUUUAUUGAAGACUAGCUACUGCGAAAGCAUUUGCCAAGGAUGUUCUCAUUAAUCAAGAACGAAAGUUAGGGGAUCGAAGACGAUCAGAUACCGUCGUAGUCUUAACCAUAAACUAUGCCGACUAGGGAUCGGAUGAUGUUAUUUUAAUGA
rnacentral:rRNA from 1 species